UUUAAUAAACGAAUAUGUAUAAUUUUAAUAUAGUUUUGAAAGUAAACUAUUCAAUAUGCUACUCUAUUUGAACGAGAACAAAUAUGAACGAGAACGAUAUAUUUUGCCUAAAAAUGUAGGCACCCUAUAGUCUGACACAGCAACGAGUUGCGAGAGUGAAUCGUUGCUAUGGAAAGGAGUUCGAUGUUUGGAAUUCAGUUUGCUAACGACUUUUGUGACGACAACACGAAGCUUCAUACACCGGUCGUUUGCUUCAAAUUUUUAGUUUUCGGCUGAUGCGUUUUGUGCGGGAUACGACACAGAUCUGCGCAGAAAUAGUAAAUAUUAUUGAACGUAGCACGCCUUCCCUACAGUCACCAAGUGUUUCGCAACCCAGCAGCAGCUACUAAUACCGACUAUAGAAAAAAAAACGUGCGGGUAUCCAGGAUGGAAACUUUAUUUAUCUACCCCAGGAUGCUGAAUCGUCGUCAGGUAGCAACAUUGCAAAAAAACGAGCAGCCCAACGGCAUUAUGCUAGUCUCCGAAGCUGCAUAAUCUGGUAGGAUCAAAUAGAACUUUUGGUUCUAGUUAGACAUUGCUGAGGGAGAGCAGAUUACUCAUUAAUACAUGAGCAUAGAAAACUUAUCAACAGGAUUUAGUGGACAACCCAGAGCCAAUUUUGACCAUGACCAUCAAGUGACACCAGUGACUUGUCACGAACCAGAGAUUCAUCUGCGGCAAUAAAAAAUAAUAGCUUUGGAAAGUUAUUUUCCGUACGGGGAACUUCAGUUAGAGUUUGCAGGUGAUCAAUAUUGACGUUCUCAUUAUGCCAUGAUAUAGGAUGGGAACUGCAAGUUGUACGGCGAACAAAUGGAAUGUUUUCCUUCCUACAUCCUGUCGAGA